GACUCCCAAAGUGCUGAGAUUACAGGAGUGAGCCACCAUGCCCAGCCUUCUUUCUCUAUUUUUCAGCUGUCCUUUAGUCUUGUUGAUAGUGUCCUUCCUUGAAAAGAAGUCCUUAAUUUAUUUCUUUGGUUGCCCUUAUCCAUGUCAAAUUAUACUAACACCUUUUACUAUCUUUGUUGAAAUUUACUAAAUGAUAUGAAAAUGUCAUGUCAGAUGACUUGUUCUCCUUUCACUUACCCUUCAGCUGUUGUACAUUAUUUUUUUCUGAACCCAGUAAACUACAAUCUGUGUUUAGUAAAAGUCAGGAAAUGGCAGGCCUUAUUCAAUAACAGAAACACUGCAACUAAUCAGGAACAUUUGGUAUUCCAGCACAUUUCCUUGCAAUCAGGCUGCUCACAUGUGGAUUUGAUCUCCUGUGGUUGGGCCAGAACUUACAGUACCCUCCCCUUAAGGGCUCCUUAGGGUACCUGCUGAGACACAUCAGGACAAGUAGUAAACAGCUCUUUGGACAUCAGUACAAGUGACAGCAGGUGUCAAUCAGAACAAGCAAGAGCUGGAAAGGAGCUCAGGGAUCAUCCAGUUCGACCCCCGUUGUACAGAUGCAGGUACUGGGGCCAAGGGAAAUAAAUGAGCUUGUCCAAGUCACACAGCUGUCAGUGAAUUGCUAGGACUAGAACCCAGAUCUCUUCACUCCCAAUUAGUGCGUUUUCAGUUUUUCUGCCUGCCUUAAGAGGAUGUCAGAAACCGUUUCUUGAAGGGCUCUUGAUCAGAUCCAGGACUUAAUCCAGAAAGUCAGCAUCCUGCAGAAUUUGGAUCCAUUCAACCUCUCCAACCUUACCUUUGGCCAUUCUGAGUUAGUUCUUGCCUCAUUCCUCUAAAGCUCCAUGCUCUACUCUUACCUUUAAGCCUUUGCAUAUGUUGUGGUCGUGCACGAUCAUGCCAGGCAUCCCCUUCCUUCUUCUCCAUGCCUUCAAGUGCUCAUCAUUGGAGGUACUACCUCCUUCAUGCCACUAUUAACUAGCAUUAUUCUCUCCCUUCUUUAGGUUUUCAUGGCAUCUGUGGUCGACACAAAUGCAAUUUAGGCUUGAUUAUAUGCUGCCUUUUUUUCUGGAAUAUUUCUGAUGUAUGAGUGACUGAGCAAGUCACUUAAUGUCUCUGUGCCUCACUCAAUUUAUUCACUAAUAAAAAGGAAGAGUUCAUAAAUCAUUUAUAAAGAUGCUUCCUGUAACAGUCUAUGUCUCCGUAAGAUUUUAAACUCCUCAAAGAAAGUGACUCUUUCUUCUAUUUCUCUUGGAAUUCCCUUAGUCUACUUGUUCUCAUCUGGGGACAAAAUUGGUACUUAGGGACAUUUAACAAUGUUUGGAGAUAUUUUUGGUUGUCAUAUCUGGGGAGGGAGGUGCUUCUGGAGUCUAGUGAAUAGAGGCCAGGGAUGAUACUAAACAUUCUGUAACACACAAGAUGGCCCCCUACAAAAAGGGGUUUCCAGCUCAAAAUGUCAAUAAUAGCAAACUUGAGAGAUUCUGCCUUAGUCUGUAAGCCAACAUUAUGGACAUAUAGUAGACAUUGAACAAAUACUUGCAUCUUUCAGUCAAAGAGAAUUAUCCUCAUAGAAGGGGUGCUGUCAGAUAUGGAACGGUCAUGGGGAAGUGAGAACUCAUGCAAAAUGAAUGCUAAGCCAGAGAAGAGAAUCUAAUUUUCCUUAGUCAGGAGGGAGAGUAGGGAAUACAAUAAAGAAGAAAAUGUUGGAUGGAUGAAACUUGAGAGCUGAGAAGUUACUUACUUUGUAGGAGGUGUUGACUUAAAUAGCUCACCUUCUAGAUACCUCUAGGAGAAUAGCUUGUGAUUGUGGUAAACAGUGGUAAUAACAUUGGAAUACAUGAAGGAAAGUUCUGGGAACUAUAAUUUAUGUUGUCAAGAAGACUUGCGUUUAUAAGAUUCUUAUUCUUACCUUCCUUUGAAAUAAAGUCUGGGUGAUAAAAAGUGGCUUUAAUUUACAGAUGAGGCCAGGAAAUUGGUUCAAUGGGCUCUGAACACUGACCCCCCAAAAAGGCUUUUUUUCCAGUUCACUACUCAGGAUUUUUGGGGAUAGGGAUGAUGAAUGACUAAAUGCUUUCAGUGACUCCUCCCAGCCUCUGCCUUGGUUGUGCUACCAAUGUUCUUCCUCAGCAUGCCAUGUGUGUCUUUCUCCUUUAGUUAUAACUUGCAAGAAAACCAAUUCAUUAUUUCUUUGUCCCCCAUCCCCUCUCCUCUUCAUCAUUUAAUACAUAUAAUAAUAAAUAUCUUAGGCAUAAACAAACAGCCCCCAAAACUUUGGGAUUGGAGGGAAAAUCCAUGACCUACAAAUUCUCUUGAGAUGGAUAUCAUUAUUCUCAACCUCUUGGGACACUUGGCAGGAGAUUCAAGUAUUAGUUCUCCUUGCUAUCAGAGGUAUUUGGCGAAGUUUUUGUUUAGAUUUCUUUUGGGGAAGACAUGCUUAAAUUAAACAUUGAAAUUCAUGAGAAUAUUUCAGUUCCUUGUAAACUUUUCUAAUCACACUUCAAGUGAGGUAUUAUUUGUGGCUUUUCAAUGAGGAAAAGUUCUCCUGACAGGGACUUCCAACAGUACAUUUCAGCAGAUCUCUGAAUUGAUGGUCAAAUGCAGUGUAUCAUAAAAUAGGCUGAAAUAGGUAUGUAGGCAUUACUCAUAACCAUUUUUAAUGGCUUAGAUUCUUCUCUGUUGCAUAGGAUUGUAAAUUGGAUCAUAGAAAAAUGAGUUCUUCUCAGCCAGUGAUACCUGGAUUCCUUUUCAGUUUUUCCAGUAAGAGAAAAGUAAAAUAAUUGAAGCACAUUUUUUUUUUUAAACUUUCCUAUAAAGGUUUUCUGGGAAAAUAUUCUGGGGCAAGGACUGAGUGACCACGGUAUAACAAGGGUAGAGAUCUAUGUAUAGUAGAAAUUUGAUGAAUAAGUGUGGCUCAUUUGCUGCUGUAUGUUUUGGCAGAUGAAUGUAUGACAUCUCUUGGUAAAAUGGCCCAGAAGAAACACAGGAAGAAGUUAUGAAAAGAUAACACCCGUACUAUUGGUAAUGUGUGGUUAAAUAAACUAUCCGUGCAACGGAAUACUGUGCAAACAUCAGAUGGAAAGAGGUAAAUCUACACAUAUGACAUUGAAAGUUGACCACAAUAUACGAGCAAGCGAGAAAGACAAGUUACAAAAUUGAAUACACAUAUGAUCUCAUUUUAAAAAUAUAUAUCUACUUGUCUGUAUUUCUAUUAACAUCUAUAUUUUAAAAAUCCAGAAUAGUCUAGGGAUUGGGACUGAGUCAGAGAAGAGAACUUCUUUACUUUAUUCACUUCUACAUUGUUUAAUCUUUUUUACGAUAUGCAUGAAUUACUUUUAAUAAGUGCAUGAUAUUUCUAAACAGCUAGGACUUGAAAUGUUCCCAACACAGAGAUAAUAAAUACUGAAGGUGAUGGACACCCCCAAAACUCUGAUUUGAUCAUUACAUGCUCUGUGCAUGUACCAAAUAUCAUAGGUACCCCAUAAAUCUGUAAAAUAUUAUAUGUCAGUUUUUUAAACAGCAAAAAAAUAAGUACAUGAUGAUAGUUUUAAUACCACUAAGUAUAUUAAACAUGGUUAUCAGUUUCUGGGAGACUGCUGUUUGGAGAACGUUGUUUCACUUAGUGAGUGCUCAAAGCAGGGCCACUCUGACGGUUUUGCUUCUGCUCCAUACUACUCUCAGUCUUAAAGAGGACAUGCUUUGUUGUGUGCGUGGCAUAUUUUGUGGUGUGCUCCUAAAGCAUGAUCACAAACUAAUGAAACUUGAUAAUGGCAGAUAUUGUCGCAAGGAAUUGAAACUUGAGGUGAAUUUCAGGAUGUUUGAAAGGGUAGAGUUGAGAUAUGCAAGAACUGCAGGCUCUUGAGGACUAUAUUAGUAAAGUCCCAUUUGAUCAAGACCUUUUGGUAUCUGUACCAACAGAGGGACUGAGGCUGUGGCUAUCUUUGUCCAGUAGGGCACAGGCACUGGAUGCUACUCCGUUGCAAAGCAUCAGCCAGCCUGACUUGGCACCCACACCAGUUUUAUAUUAUAACUUAGCAUGGUUUUAUUUUUAUUUAUGCUUUCUUCAUGUCUCUCUCUUGCUUCUGGCACAGCCAUUGUUUCAAUACAUUUCUAUUGAGAAGUUUUAAGGGUGUUCUGAUAAUGAUUUGCAAUUCUUCCUGGCUGGUAGUGGCAACUUUUGAAGUUACCAGCAAGCUGUUCUUCCAAGAUUGAGAAUAAAGGUUGUUGUUUACUUUCUCUUUCACUGACUGACUGAUGAACAGAAUAAUUUAGAGCUUAAGAGGAACCGUCAAGAUUAAAUCAUUAAACAAAACUUAUUGAGAUCCUGUUAUAUGCUGGAUCUUAUUUUCAGUGCUUUGGAAUUUUACCUUCUUCGUGGAGAGCUUAAUGUCAGUGUGAACCAGGACUAGCUGGAGAACUUGUUAGCUGGGCCUUACUGGAGUUUCUGACUCAGUAAGUCAGAAACCUCGGGCUGGGGCCCGAGGGUUUGGAUUUCUAGCAAAUGCUCUGGAGAGUUUCUCUAGGGUAGCACUGUGCAAAAAAAAUAUAAGGUGUGUCACAAAUGCAAACCGUGUAUGUAAUUUCAAGUUUUCUAGAAACCAUAUUAAGAAAGUAAGAAGAGGUGAAAUCUAUUUUAAUGGCAUGUUAUUUGACCUAAUACAAAAUAUUAUUUCAACAUGUAGUCAACAUUACAAAAGUUAUUAAUGACUUAUCUUAUACUGUUUUUUUGGAGGAGUAAGUCUUUGAAACCUGGUAUGUAUUUUAUACUCAUGGCACCUCUCAGUUGGGACUAGCUAAAUUUCAAGUGCUGUAUAGCCUCACGCGUCCAGUAGCCACUGUGUUGAGCAGUACAGCUCUGGAGUAUCAUAGAAUCUAAUAUAUCUUAACCAUUCUUCUUCCCCAACAUACCUGGGGGAUAGGGUAUAUUUCCAACCAUAACAGUGACUCAUUAAGACUACAUUUUCUAGAAAAUGUAUAGGCAGUCCAGCCCCUCGUUUACUUGUGUUAGGGGCUAACAAAGCCCAUGUGUGAAGACGGCAGGUAUGACAUACUUGACUCAGUAAGAAUGCUGCAUUUUGGGCAGGAGGGUCAAUUCCAAGAACAGCACAAUGCUCUGUCCACAUUUACCUAACAUUGGAAUCCUGUGGCUCCAUAGGAGAUGGGACUUGGGGGAAUAAGCAGAAAGAACUGUUUCACAGUAUCUCAAAGACCAUGAGAGCAUCAACAACGUUCUUUUGAGACCUCUCUGAUAGAGUGGACUCUGACUCCUCAGUAAGGAGGAGUUGCAGGUUAAUUCUGCAGCUUACUACAAAACACUGUAAACCUUGAUGUGGUAGGGGCUCCAGUACCCUAACUGUGGUGUCAGGAGCAGUGGUGCCCAGCACAUGCUUGGGGGAAGAUGGCAGAGCAAUGGCAAGACCUGAAAGAAGUGUCCUUGUUCAGGGAGUACAUGUGAGGAACCCUGGGAAUGUCAAGAGACACUCGUACAAUGGCACUUAGACAGGGGCUGAAGGCCAUAUUGAUGUGUGGGACAGAGACAGCAGCACCUGGUUGACUGUUGUUAGAGUGACCUCAUUAUGGGAUAAAUUCUGUAGGGGUUCAGAAGAAGGAUUAGGUAGCAGUAUCAGGAAAGUGUGCAUGCAACAGGCCAAGACUGAGCUAGCCCUGGUGGUUUUAGAUGUGCAAAGAUGGAGGAAUUGGGGUGAGGGAACUUUAGGCAGAGGAAACAGCUGUAGAAAAGACCCAGGUGGGUGAGAGGCAUUUUGACAAGAACAGUGCAUGUCUGGAGAAAACCAGAGGGUGGCAGGGCUGCAAAAGAUGAGCAGAACCGUACUGUCUUGGACCUGGAAUAUCAGACUUAGGACUUUGGUUUUUACUCCAUAGGAAAUGUAAACCCUUAAAGGUUUUUGAGCAGGGCUGUGUUAUGAGUAGAUUGCUGUUGUAGGGGAAAUAACUUGGCAGCUGCAUGUAAGAUAAAAUAUUUUGACAAGAGAUUACAGCCAAGAAGCAGCCUUGUCCAGACGAGGGGUAAGGAGCUACCUGGACCUGAAACUAGGGUUGAGGGCAGAGGUACAGGGAGGAAUGGAGUAGAACUGAUAGCACUUUACACAGGAUGGUGGCGGGGAUAGGAAUAAAGAAGGGAAAGGGAAAGGUCAAAAGGCAGAUGUUGAAAAGGUAGUGGUCAGGGAAGCAAGGAAGGAACGGAGUUAGAAAUAGGAGAGAAAGAAGAGAGAAGCAUGAAUGAGAGACAAAGAGAAGAGAGGGAAGGAAGACAUGAUACCAAGGAUUUGAAGCCAGUGGAACUGUCACCUCUUCAGGACCAUGCAUUGGUACUGAAGGUGACUGGCUAAAUUCAUUCUGACUGUGACCCUUUCCUGGUAGUUACUGGGAGAAGUGUGGGCAGCAGAAUGAGUGUCCCUUAUAACAUGGCUCCCCAGCCCCCAGGCUACGGACUGGUACUCCUACACAGUACAGGUCUGUGGCCUGUUAGGAACUGGGCCGCACAGCAGAAGGUGAGUGGUGGGCGAGUUAAGUGAAGCUUCAUCUAUAUUUACAGCCACUCCCCAUUGCUCACAUUACUGCCUGAGCUUCACCUCCACCUCCUGUCAGAUCAGCAGCAGCAUAAGAUUCUCGAAAGGGCGUGAACCCUACUGUAAACUGCAUAUUUGAGGGAUCUCGGCUGUGUACUUCUUAUGAGAAUCUAAUGUCUGAUGAUCUGUCACUGUCGCCUGUCACCCCCAGAUAGGACCGUCUAGUUGCAGGAAAACAAGCUCAGGGCUUCCGCUGAUUCUACAUUAUGGUGAGUUGUAUAAUUAUUUCAUUAUAUGUUACGGCAUAAUAAUAAUAGAAAUAAAGUACACAAUAAAUGUAAUGCACAUGAAUCAUCCCGAAACCAUCCCCCCGCUUCCCUGUCUGUGGAAAAGUCAUCUUCUGUGAAACCUGUCUCUGAUGCCAAAAGGUUGGAGACUGCUGCUUUAUAAAACAGUCCUACCAUAAGAUAGUAACACAUCCCUGUUGCUAGGAGACACAUUCCACAGUCUUCGGGAGAAGGGGAGAGACGAUUAAUUCCUAAUCAGGUCAGCUAAUAUUCAGAAAAGAUUUUAAAUUUGAUCCAAGACAGAUUUUGCUGAAAUUUGAGAUUAAGGCAGUAGUUUUUAACUCCCUUCCCAGUCCCCCAGGACAGUGACAUCCACCUUUUCUUGCUGACACCUGUCCCAAGGGGGUCUCUGCAGUGUUGCUCAGGCACCACUGGAACGUAUCAAGGAUGCAGCUGUGGCAGCAGCCGGGCUGUUUGAUGCUCCCAGCCUCACAUAACACCACCAUGAGACAGGCAACUGUAUCACUCGCAAGUGGCAGAUUGGAAGCCCAGGCUUAGAGAAAUGGCUAGAAAUGAUAGCAAAAAUCAUCUGCAGGGCAAAAUCUAAGCCCUUAUUUUACACUGUUGAACCAAGAAAGAGGAGAAAAUGUACCCUAUAGUAAAAUUUAGGGGGGAAAACCAUUUGUGCUUCAUUUUGUCUAUAGAUCACAUUUUGACUAUAUUAUAGUGUGGUUUUUUUGUUUUUCUUUUUUUGGUAUGCAUUGUGGUAGGGAGACAUUAAGGAGGUUGAAAAACUUAUUUUAAACCCUUUUGUUUGUUUGUAAGAAAUUUACCCUUUUAUUUCCCCUGGAAGAAAUCUAACAACUCUGGACUGUUGACAGACAUUCCCUUUUGGUGUCCCAACUCUUCCUGAAGCGAAAAUGAGGUAAUAAAAUUUCUAAGCAAAUAUGUAAUCACUGUAAUUUGCAUAUUAUUUUCAUAACCAGAGAUGCAGGGAUUUUCUCCUCCUUCUGUGGGAGAAACCUAAUCACAGAACUUUCUUAAAUUUCAUCUUGUAUCAAAUUUCCUGCCUUAGACAUAUGAACAUAUUAUAAUCUGACCCAUCCUCCCUCCCCAUCUUGCAGCCUUUUUUAAAUAACUAAAUUACUGUACUCAAAUCCUCAUCUUGCACAACAGCAGGAAAUCCAUUCUAUUCCAGACUCUUCCAGAGGACUCUAGAGAGAGUGAUUUCUUACUACCUAUAACAGCUCCUGAAGGCUUCUGCCUCUCUCCAAGCUAUGCUCCAAGAAUAAAUAUAGUUCCCCCUUCAUUCACUAAGGCAUUGCUAAUACAACCUAAAUUAUAGUAAUCAGUUUCCUAAAAGAUGAGCAUGGCAAAGAGAAAUGACAAAGUACAAAGUAAAGCCCUCAGAUAUCAAGAUCCUCUUCAGCAAUUCCAUUUCAGUGAGACCUUCUUUUCUCCUCAUGUUCUGGCUGGCGGCUGGGACCCCAUGCCUCACUCAAUCCCAGGCCUUCUUUGCUUUUCUCCCAAACUCUCAGGUCCCAAACUCUGCAGAGAAAAAUGAAAAUAUAUCAAUUGAAACAAACUAACAAAAACUUCUCUUCCUCAGAAACCCAAUCCACAACUCUCUGCUUAAGGAAGACCCACCUUUACUUUAUUAAAAUGACAUUUACCUCCUUUUGUAACAACUUUCCCCAUUUCAAUUUAGCCUAGGCCUUAUCUCAGACAGUCAAAAAGGCUUUUAAAGCCUUUCUAACAAAAGAGGUAUUUUCCUCUAAAGAUUGAUCCACUACCCAGCUAGCAACAGCCCCAACCUGUAAGCAGAUUUUUGUUCCCACAACAAUAUCAUCCUGAAAUAUUUACUUUUCUGCUGCUUUGUCCUUAUUUAUAUCCAAUGGUGCGGUUAAACAUUUAAAAAGGCUGUUUCUGGGAUUAAAGAAUAUGUGAAGAAGACCAAAGUCAACAAGGAAAUUCUUUAUACAUAUUUAGUAAGCAUGAAGAUAUUCAAACUCUUUUGUAAGGGUAGCUGAGAGAAAGGAGAAUAAACCCAAAGUCAGGCAAGCAAGUUUUAUUAACCUGCCAGGCUACUAGGUAACAAUCAGAGGAGGCAGCCCCAGCUGACAAGACAUGGGUUUAUAUGGGGUGAGAGGAGGCAUAAGGGAGUUUUAGGUAACAGGCACAGAGAUAGUUUGUUAACUUGUAACAGACCUACAAUACAUCAUCCUGUGACUUUUGUGGUAGCAGUCUU